GGCCUGGCUGGGUGGUCUUGCCGAAAGGUAAGCACUGCUCCGGUCGGGUCUUUCUUUCUGGGGAAUCGGUGUGCUCUUAAUUGAGUGCGCCGGGGAUCCAGGACUUUUACUUUGAAAAAAUUAGAGUGUUUAAAGCAGGCUCACGCUUGAAUACAUUAGCAUGGAAUAAUAGAAUAGGAC
rnacentral:rRNA from 1 species